rnacentral:tRNA from 1 species
GCUUGCGUAGCUCAGUUGGUAGAGCACGUCAUUCGUAAUGAUGAGGUCGCGAGUUCGAGUCUCGCCGCAAGCU